rnacentral:lncRNA from 1 species
ACACUUGAUUGACAGAAUAAUUUUAAAGGCCAGUCGCUGUCGCGCGCUCUGCAUGCAGCAUAGAGAAAGGAACUAUCGCAGUGUGGAUUUACUUUAGGUUCGUGGGUUGAGGCCUACAUGGGAUCUCCCUUGUAAAAACCAUGAAUUUAUACCGUCAUCUGCCUGACGAUCCACAGGAUGACCACAUGAAGCUUGGUCAUCAGCGUAUUCUUCUUCGGGAUAUUAACGAACAAAUCACUUGUCGGUUAUGCAAUGGUUAUCUUAUUGAUGCUACCACAAUAACAGAGUGCUUACACACCUGUACCAGCAAAUUGCUUGGCGUAACCUGCAGUGGACCAGCAUCCUACCCAGCGGGAGCAUUACACACUCUUAUCUAUCUAACGCUACUCCAACCCAUAAUAUGAGCACCAUGGCUUGACAAAAAUCUACUUUUUUUUUUUACUUUGCACAUCAUGCCUAUCUAUCUUGAUAUGAGCCAUGAAUGAGGCAAAGACAAAUUCCUUUUUACAAUUUGUUACCUUUUGCUGUGAAUACACUAAUUAAUUCAGAAGAAAGUGAACUGAUUAACUGAAAAUGAUUAUUUUAAAUAGUACUUUAUACAAGUUGGAUAAUCUAGCUUUGUUGUAUCAGAGGAGUACUUUGUGUAUUGUGUGUGCGGUUAGUAUUAACCUAAUUUGCAGAUUAACAGUCAGUAGCUUUGCAAAUUGUGUUGUACUGUACAAUUCAUGAAUAAUUCAUAAGACAGUCAACGUAAAUACUGACUCUGCAGUGUUGAAUAUCAAUAACAAAAUCAUUCUCAUAAAUAUUCAUUAAGAUUGUAUGAUAGAAAUUUUAUAAAUCAUGCUCAUCAUACUGUACAGUAACUCGUAAGGAGCCUUAGUUAUGCUAAUUGGAAGAAUGAUAAAAAAUAAAAGGUUUUAAACCAUAUAGAAAUGGUCGUUUAAUUCAUGUUAAAAGUCAUAUAGGGCUGUCAACAUGUAGUAUCCCAUUCUUGUGGUUAAUAAUUGGAUUAUUAAUAUAUUGUGAGGAAGCUAGAUUAUUUAUUGGAAAAUUCUGUCUCUCCCCUCUGAAAUUUCAAUUUUUUCAUGGAGAUGGGUGUAAACAGGCCAAAAAUAAAAGUUUUUAUUUGAAAGUCUGCAAAACAAGGUGUACAAUUUCUCGUCUAAUUCAUUACAGUAUAUGAGAUUGUCCUUCCUGGUGCAUGGAGAAGUAUAAGACAAUACUUUAUUAAACAUAAAUCAAUUUUUUAACACUAACAGCAUGUCCCGGAAUGAGCACUGUAAAGUGUAUUUUAUGUUUCCUUCACUAUUCUACUACAUAAACAGAUAAAAAAUACUUAGUUUAGAAAAUGAUGUGACAAUAUAGUAUAGCACAUGUUUAGCAUGAUAAAGUGACUCCAUCUUAAAACAAUGAAUUUGGGUAAUAUCAUAAAAUAUAGAAAAACCAAUUGUGAUUGAUGUAGCAUUUUUUGAUAACAUGAUGGUUUUACUUUAUUAGCUACAAAACCAGGUGAAUUUACUUAAUUCUUUUUUAAGCCAUAUUUUUAAAAUCUAUUUAUGAUUUAAUAAUAACAAGGAUUUAGUUUACAUAUGUAGUUCAUAGAAUUGUUUUAAGUAUGCUACUGUUAAGUAUGUCAUUUCCUGUCUGUGAUUAAAAGAAACAACUGUAUGCACAGGUACCAGUAUUGUAAUAUGCAAGUGGUUCUGGUAUCCUUGUAUUUAAUGCUUUCCUGUUGUUGAUAGUAUGUUAAUUGUUGUACUGUACUACUAGGUAGUUUUUCCCUGAAGUAAUUCCUGCGACAAUAUUGUUGUUGUUUUGGUUUUUUUUCCCCUUUCAUGCAUAUGAAAACAAAAUUUGUCAGCUAUUUUGCACACAGGACCAACAGCUUAAUUGUUUCAUCCGAAAGACGAUGUACUUUUUAUUUUAAGCCCAUCAGCUGAUAAUGCACACAUGACCAACGGCAUGAACGUCUCAUCCGAAAGAUAGAGCGCUUUUUUAUUUCCACCCUAGAGUUGUAACACAAGGAGAGCAGUGGAUAGAAUUGAACUGGGGACCAAGAGGUCUCUGAGGUGUAGCGCACACACAGUCGCUACCACAAGUUUAGUCACCUGGACUAAGCUGCCACUGAUUCAAUUGUGCACCUUUAUGCACAAAAUGGUUAAAUUGAAUGUUAUCCUUUAUUAUUUUCACCUUGCAGUAUCAUGUUCCAUGACCCUAGGCUUGCGUUUCAUUAUCAUUGUAAUUAUGAUGUGAAAUGUAUGGUUGUAUUUAAAAGAAAUAAAUAUACCUGAUUUGAAUUCACAUUUGGAUAAUGAAAUUUUGUUUAGCGUCUGUAUUUGCUAAACAAUAAGCAAUCAUGAAACUCAACAAAUAAUCAAGUAUAGUGCUAUACAUUGCCAUUGGAUAGGUACAUAAACAAACCUGGUUGAAAUGAUAUUUAGUCUUAAUUUUCUUCAAUGACAUUUUGGUUUGGUUGUUAGUUAUCAAUGGAUAAUUAUUGAAUCAAUUACCAUAAGUACCAUAUUUAUGAGUAUAGUAUUAGUUAUCUGGAUAGAGUAAAUGUAUUCACUCAUUUAAAAGAAUACUCAAAUUUCUCUGAGUUAAAGACCUUUUUCAACAAAAAUCCUUAAAUUGAUUUUCUUGCAAUUUAAAAGUCUAUAUGAAUGACAUUAUUUAUUUGUGCAUGUAUUACAUUAAUAUUGAAUUAUGUAUUUGUAAUGCUUUUUGUAGCUCAUCUCACAGAUGAGCUACAUUUUACAUUUGAAUUGCUUAAUUUGUAUAUUUAAGUAAGCUAUAACUUAACAUAAAAAUAUUAGAAAUUUAAAAAAAAAUAAUUCCCCCGUCAAUGUCCAGUUAAUAAUUGCUUUCCUGUAAAUCUGUAAAUUGGUAAAGACACCGUUUUUUGUUUCUCCUUCGAAGCUAAGAAUAAUUUAUUCGAUCCUUUCAAAUGAGCUUUAUUCAAAAUUUCAUUUGAAUUUUUGAGAUAUUUUCUUGCUUUUUGACUGAUAAUGCAUCUUAAACUUUAAAUUAAAUUACAUCUUUUUUUGUGCUAAUGGCCUAACUGCAUCUAAAAAAUCAUUUCUCUUCUACCUUAAAAAUCUGAUACCUUAGUAGUCCGUCAUAAUUACGUUCAAAUAUAUCUCUUGUUUCAAUUUGGAAGUCAAAUUCCAAUUACAGGUUGAGUGACAAUGAUACAAAUAUUCGCAGCCUAGCAUCAGUAUGAGAAGCUUACAGUAUUUAUGAUGUAAACAAAGACACAUCAUGCAAGCUUUCAUUACUUAUGAUACAGAUAUUCUUUUUCUCUUCUCAUUAUAUGUUAUACACAAAUUGAUGGUAGCCUGGGGAGAUGAUCAUUUAUUAUUAUUGGGUGCACCUGCCAAUGGCUGCCAAACCACAGGAUAUGCCUGAAAGCUUUCCUCCAUGGAUAAAGCUCUUUUUACAGAUUACUGUUUGGGGAAGGGAAAGGGAGAAGAUUGCAAAUUACCCAUUAAUAACCAAUACAUUUAUAGAGAAUGAAAAGUAAAUUGGUCAAUGGUCAAUGGCUGUACAAUUUUGCAGUACAUAUUAUAUUUAAAUUUGUAUGCACAGUCUCAUUUACUUGAUUAAAAAGGAGGCUAACCUUUACGUCUAAUAGUGUAUUAGAAUCUUUUUUUUUUGGUAUAGAUUGUAGUAAGAUAUUUUAAGCUAAGAAUUUUGUAAUAUGAGUUCUUACUUGGUCUGAUAAGAAAUUAGUAGGCAAUAUUUAUUAUUAACAUAACAAAAUGUAGUAUUGCUGCUUAAGUUUUGGCCAAUAUAAAAAUGCAGUUUAAUAAUAAAAUAAUGAAGUUCAGAUGUGUAUUGUAUAGUAAAUAUGAAUAAAUAAUAACAAUUAUAUAAUAUUAGUUUUAUAUAGGAUGUAUGCAAAUUGAAAAUGCCACUGUGUGUUAUUCUAUUAGGUACACUAACUGCAAUAAACCCAAACAUACCAGUAGGUACCGUAUACUAUAUUCAUGUGUACAGUAUGAGACAAGGCUUUAAAUAGCAAAUUACAAUCUUAUGCGCAUACAAUUUUUGGUUCAAAUCAUGUUUGCCUUAUGUGCGGAUCGUCCGCAACACGCUAAUUUACUACUGAAAUAAAGCUGCUAACUGUUCGUAACAAUGAACGCAAUUUUAAAAGCGGGGAAACAAGAUUUUGAUGAACAUUUAAAAGCCCAUAAAAUGGUAUUACUAUUUGAAAGGUUAGUCCUACAUUGGGCUCAGUUUUUAUCCAGCUAGAUGUAGUAUCAAUACCAUCAGUGGCGGCUCUAGGAUAUAUUUUCUGGGGGACUAAGUUGUCCGACAGGGGGACUUGAGCUCGUAGGCUUGAGCUUGGAGAAGGGUUUGAGAGGGGGGUUCCCCCUCCCAAAUGCGAUUUUUUUACCAUAUUAUACUUAUGAAUUGUCUUGGAAAUGUUGAUGUUAGGGAGUAUUCUUAAACCCAACUUAAGGUGGUUUUCCACUAAGCGAAUUUAUUCGCUCAAAUAAAAGUGUCUGUUCGCUUCCUGAGCUCUGAUUGGUUGCGCAUUUUUUUGCUUCGCAAAAACCUGAUAGAAAUGUGAAUGCGCAUGCGUAUGAACCAACGCUUUCGAUUCGCGCUAACAAAUUCGCCUAGUGGAAAACCAGCUUAAGACAGCAUCGUAUGCUGCAGCUUAACGCAAUAUAUCAUCGGGGACAAUCUUGAGGUCGUUGUGAGAAUAUUGAACAAGUUUAAUAUUCUACAACAAUGCAAUUGUCCCUGACACAGAGCUAUUGCAUCAGCGUUUAAGUCACACAGAGCCGAUGCGAUUUGUUGUUGCAUUGGGUGUGGCAUUUGACAUUAAACUUAUUGAAAAGCUACCAUGUGGGCUUAUGCCCGAGAGUGGACCUGAGGAAUUUGGUAUGAAAUUUAAAA